rnacentral:tRNA from 1 species
GCCAGCAUGGCAUAGUGGUUUGAGCUUUGGACUACAACUCUGGAGACCAGCGUUCAAUUCCCAGCUCAGCCA